rnacentral:tRNA from 1 species
GCCUGGGUAGUUCAGUCGGCUGAGCAUCUGACUUCGGCUCAGAUCAUGAUCUCAUGGUUCAUGGGUUCAAGCCCCACAUCAGGCU